rnacentral:rRNA from 1 species
UACGUAGGGCGCAAGCGUUAUCCGGAAUCAUUGGGCGUAAAGAGCUCGGAGGCGGUUUGUCGCGUCUGCCGUGAAAGUCCGGGGCUUAACUCCGGAUCUGCGGUGGGUACGGGCAGACUUGAGUGAUGUAGGGGAGACUGGAAUUCCUGGUGUAGCGGUGAAAUGCGCAGAUAUCAGGAGGAACACCGAUGGCGAAGGCAGGUCUCUGGGCAUUAACUGACGCUGAGGAGCGAAAGCAUGGGGAGCAAACAGG